rnacentral:rRNA from 1 species
AUUGAACGCUGGCGGCAUGCCUUACACAUGCAAGUCGAACGGCAGCGGGGGAGAAGCUUGCUUUUCCUGCCGGCGAGUGGCGAACGGGUGAGUAAUACAUCGGAACGUGCCCUGUAGUGGGGGAUAACUAGUCGAAAGAUUAGCUAAUACCGCAUACGACCUGAGGGUGAAAGUGGGGGACCGCAAGGCCUCAUGCUAUAAGAGCGGCCGAUGUCUGAUUAGCUAGUUGGUGGGGUAAAGGCCUACCAAGGCGACGAUCAGUAGCUGGUCUGAGAGGACGAUCAGCCACACUGGGACUGAGACACGGCCCAGACUCCUACGGGAGGCAGCAGUGGGGAAUUUUGGACAAUGGGCGAAAGCCUGAUCCAGCAAUGCCGCGUGUGUGAAGAAGGCCUUCGGGUUGUGAAGCACUUUUGUCCGGAAAGAAAUGGCUCUGGUUAAUACCUGGGGUCGAUGACGGUACCGGAAGAAUAAGGACCAGCUAACUACGUGCCAGCAGCCGCGGUAA